rnacentral:tRNA from 4 species
GUAGACGCUGCGGACUUAAAUCCGUUGG